AUUGAACGCUGGCGGCAGGCCUAACACAUGCAAGUCGAGCGGAGCGGCGGACGGGUGAGUAAUGCCUAGGAAUCUGCCUGGUCGUGAGGGAUAACGUCCGGAACCGGGCGCUAAUACCGCAUACUCUCAGAUGAGCCUAGGUCGGCUUAGCUAGUUGGUGGGGUAAAGGCCUACCAAGGCGACGAUCCGUAACUGGUCUGAGAGGAUGAUCAGUAACACUGGAACUGAGACACGGUCCAGACUCCUACGGGAGGCAGCAGUGGGGAAUAUUGGACAAUGGGCGAAAGCCUGAUCCAGCCAUGCCGCGUGUGUGAAGAAGGCCUUCGGGUUGUAAAGCACUUUCAGCGGGGAGGCGUUACCCGCAGAAGAAGCACCGGCUAACUCCGUGCCAGCAGCCGCGGUAAUAC
rnacentral:rRNA from 1 species